UCCCGCCGAGCGUCGACGCCGAGGCAAGAGUGAGCUAGCAGCUGGGGUUUCUUUAGGAGGCCGUCACACCCAGAGGGCACCUCUGUUCGGCCGCCUCUUACCCUAGCUUUCUUUCACCGCCACCCGCCCGCCGUACUUGGUGUCUUCUCACUUCUGAGUCAUUUCACCUCCAAUUUUUCAGAAAAGAUUUCGGAUUUUCCUGUAAUUCCUUUUUGGAGGUUGGGAAGUUAUGAUUGAGACACCAAUGGAUUCCUUGUCUGGUGAGAACACACCUACUCGUCCAUAAACUGGUAAUUGUGACAAAUCUCAUCCUAGCUCUUAAUCCUACCAGCCACUACAGAAAGAUCUUCCACCAGGAUUCUGUUCUGCCUUAGGGGUGAUUCAGCGAAGAAAGAUACAUUCCAAGAUAAGGAAAAGAAAAAGGCAAUGCCUUUCUAAAUGCACGGAUUAUGAGAAACAAAAAGAACAAUUCUGCUAAAAGAACAAUUCUGCUAAAGAAGAUGAAUGAAAUAUUUCCUAAUGGUUUUGUGGGUUGGAAACAUUAGAGUGUGGAGGGAAAGCUUUUAUUUAUUUAUUUAAAGCUGUGGGACUUGGGUGUUAAAAGAUACAUCAUUUCAUUAUAACUAUUUGUGGUAAGCUGAAUGUGUUUAAAAAUCUAAUUUGAUUGCCUUGA